GGCACCGCACGCUGCAGCGAAGGAUCAUGUUACUUACCUGACAAGUACUAGGCAGUAGUACAGUGGAAUUGUAUGGAACUGUCUUUUGUCUUUAACCACUAAAGCAUAUAUAGAAAUAUACAUUGGGAUGUCGUGAUUUUAAAAGUUGAAAUAAAAAUGUCUAUUAUGAAGACCAUAAAGAUAACACACUUUUAAUUAGAUAAUUCUCGUGUGCUAUAGUUGGAGAGUAAGGUUGCUAUAAUCAGUGUUCUCUACUUCAAGGAGGGAAAGAAAGGGGUUCAGUGAUGACUGUCUUGCCGUGUGUCUUGUGUGGUCUGUGUUUGAAAUCAUAGAAGAAAAAACAGAAUCACCAAUAUUUCAGCUGUGCAGCUAAAUAUUUAGUUUUUCAUUUUCCACUGAUGGAUUUAUUAGCAUGCAUCGACUAUUGCAGAAUUCCCAAGCUAGAGGCUAUGAUGCCAUGCAAUGCAUCUAACAAACCUCACGAUUCAGUAGCAUGCAUCGGCUACUACGGAAUUCCCAAGCCAUAGGCUAUGAUACCAUGAAAUUUGGCUAAAGAAGCAGGUGCAAGAUGUUUGGGAAGGCUGGUGGCCGAAAGGGGAGCUGCCACAGCAGCUGCGGGCACUGUCUUCACUCUUCACAGAUGUCACAGAUCGAAGGAGCGCAUCGUGCUUCAUCGUAGGUUGGACAGAGUGGAAGCCUUAACUCCUACCUGCGUGCUCGCUCUCCGUCACCGGCACAACAUGGAGGCCGCACCCCUGCCGGCACGCUCGCUCCGGGCAACGGCCCCACGGCCCCACCCCACCCUGCUGGUGCUUCACUGUCGUCAAGUGGAGAUACCUCCAUCCGAGCUCGUACUCGACAUCGGCAGUAACCCUACUCUUAGAUUGUGUUCAGCUAAACCCCCAUGCCACACGUGAACGCCGAGGCAGCUGCGGCACCACCAAGGAAGUGAAAGGGGUGGACCCAGCGCUGGAGACGAUGGUGUUGCUCGCAUGUCUGGACCAGGCCCUGAAGCGCCGCCGUGUGCGUGAUGCUUUCAAGAACGUGCAACUAAGCUUUGACCGCCGCCUCUUCAAGGUGUAAACUGAAGCCUGGCAGGAAACUGAUGCAUAGAGUUUGGUAGAAGAUUAGAAAAAGCUGAUGUACAUGACCAAGACACUUCUUGAUUGAAGAAGAUAACUUUCAAAGAUUACGACUAAGCUUCUAGCUAGGAGGUGACAAUUAGUAAAAAAAUUGGAUCAUCUUUUAUGAUGUUGUACUGUGCUUAGCUGUAUGUGUGUAGUACUGAAGUGGGAAGAGUCAAGUGAAACGGAGAUUGCUUGUAAUGCAUGAACAAUUGUGAAUCUACCAGUUAGAUCAACUUUGUACUAUACAUAGUUCUUCUUAGUUGACUACUAUGGAAUGCUUGGAAUUGUAUAGAGAAAAUAUUACAUGCUAUCUGUAUUAAAUGAU